UCCUUCCCCCUUUCAUGUGGGUUGAGCUCAGGUCAUCAGGCUUGUGUGGAAAAUGCUUUUACCUACUCAGCCCAUCUUGCUGUUGAAAACAGAACAUUUCAGCCAACAGAAACUAGUUAAACAUUGCCUUCGGUAUUAUAUUUUGAAGCUACCAUUACAGAUCCUGCAGGGGAGGCAAAGGUGAUCCACUAUGCAUGAAGGAGUGCGUGACAUCGAGAGGCAGCUGGAGGCUCCUCAGGAGAACACGUAGUGUGCAGCAUCACUUCACAGGACACAAAUGAAUGCCCACUGAACACACAGUCAGGUCUACAACCUCUAGGACAAGGUUCCACAGUGAGACAGCAGGGGAUCCUUCACCACACUGAGGACGGACAGAGGGUGAAGGAAAGGGCUGACAGGGCUCUACCCUUCCAAACACCAGCUGCGCAUUUUGAUUAAGGACCUCAAUAGUCUUUCCUCUCUCAGGGCAGUGAUUCAGUUAAAUGAAUUUAACUGUAAAUUUAAAAAGCAAACAAUAUCAAAGUGUAACGUACCAAAUUUUGGCAUUUGAUGAACAGGGAACUGUUUAAAACUGUCUCCAUCCCUUGACAGGUAAAGAUGAUUCAAGAGCAUCAUUGUGCCGGUCAACACUUGCUUGUUGCGUACUUUCUACAGGUUUCCAUGUCUAAGAAGGCCUCAAACAGCCCCUCAUAGGAUUCUCUAUCUUUCCUCCACUGAAGGGAAACCUGCCGAUGGCAUCUCAUGGAUUACCUCCCACUGACUACCCUGCAGUCACUAUGUCCCACCAAGUAUACCCACUCCAGGGACUAGUGCUUUACAAGACUUGGUGAAUUUUACAGACAGACAUCUGGCUCUUACCUCAUCUUGCAAGGUAGCAAACUCUUCAAGAAUGUGACCAAGUUUGUCUCUCUGCCGAGCCCUGUUAUGGCCAUGGAUCUGAACAAGACUACAAAAUGGCUGUAACACACAGACAACUUAGUAACUGUCAACACAAACUUUCUUUUUCCGAAAAGAAACAAUAUGCCAAGUUCUUAACUCUUGUUUAAAUGCAUGCACACACGCAGGGACAUGCACAAUUACACUGCUGAUGCUUCUUACACAGGUGCCCAUUUUUAAAGACGUCAACAUCAGAAUUUAUAAGUGGGUGGAAAAAGGUAGCUUUUUGUGAAAUAUGAUUUCCCAUGGCAAAAAGUACACUACUUCAUUCAAUAAUUGUCCUGCGAUUUCUCUUCUACUUAUUUUAAAGUAAGUCAAGAUUACAAUGCUCAUGUUUUUGUGAUGGUUGAGUCACGGCUCCUACCUCUGGCUCUCCUAUUCCUAAGGAUCUAAAACACAGCAUCCUGUAGAAGCCGGGACACUAUACUAAUCCAACAACAGACACGUAGUGUGCAGCCUGCAUUUAGGAAAUGUGACUGGCUUCUCUGAAACAGAACAGAGCUUGGGUUGGUAAGCUCUGACAGGCUGUCUUUGCCACAGCAACUGUUUUAGAAUAGUUAAGAGGUACAGAGGGCAUCUCUCAUCUGAAAACUCAAAUAACUAGAAAUAAAUAACUAGAUAAAUAAAUAAAUCAAGACAGAGUCUGAUGUAGUCCAAGGUGGCCUUGAACUCACUAUGUGGCUGAGGGUGAGUGAUCCUGAAGUGGUGAUCCCCUGGCCAUUUCCUGAGUGUUAGCAUAAAAGGCAAGUAUCACCAAGUCCAGUUUUCAAAAAUUUUCUGAGUAUCAAGAUAACACUAAAACCCCAUACUCGGGAACAUGCUGGAUUUCAGGUUUUUGAAACAGGGAUGCUCAACCCACAAAUUCUAUGCAAAUAUUCCAAAAUCUGAAACAUUUUUAGUCCAAGUAUUUCACAUUUCAUAAAAGUGACGCUCAGCCAGCAUUAACAUUUCACUCUUUAAAGAGGUAAUUUUCAAAAAGUAAAACAAUACCCCUGAUGAUAAUAAAAUGUUACAUAAAUAAAAUCUAGUGUUCUUAGUCUUCCACCACACAAUAGCCUUCAUACUCACAUUUGCAUGCACACUUGUAUGCACACGUGCAUGCAUACACUAGAGUUAGCCCCUAAAGAAUUUCCUAAUGGAUUAUUCUGAGAGAAGUGUUUAUAUAAUUAAAUAAGAAUGACUGGUAACUUAAAUCUACAAAUCUGUAUAUUUUCCCAAACUGGAAAAAAAAAAGUUUAACAGUCUUAAUUUAUAUAGAAUCCUUUUCAUUACCACAGUUCCAAGAUAAUCAUAUAGGAAUGUUACAAAAAACUUUUUAAGGCCAAAAGUGAAGCUCGCAUGUCCAUUUAUAAAGCAUACUAGAGAACAAGAGAGCUAUAAUGUCUCAUUUCUGGUCCUCACCAACAGUAGUAGUUAUCUGAACAUGUAAAGAGUACAGGCCAUAAAGCCGCUUACUCAAGCAGUAAGAGGAGACAGAAAUGUUAACGUAUUCACUAGAUGAGAACAAGAGAUGUGAAAUGAAUAACACAAAAGAACUGAGCGGCAUAAUCUGCCAAGUAGCCAUCAUAACAACCCAAACUGCGGUUCUUACCCGAACACAGUGAGUAACAAAGGAGUCGAUGCAGUCCUUAGCCUGGUGAUUAUUAUACAGGCAACACCUGUAAAACAAUGUUCACGUCACUAACAUCAGACUGUGUAGCUUAGACAAAGAAGCAGUGAUUACUACAUGCUACUGACAGAGAAAACAACCAAAUCCAUGACUAGGCUGAGGAACACUAGCAUGAUGUUAAGCAUUCCAUAGUCCUGUGCUUUGCACACGUGUGUAUACACAUGCGUGUAGUGAGACCAGAACAUCUAAAGCCCGUGUCUCCCGGGCCAUCUGUCACUUCUACAAUAAUAUCCUCUCAUAAUCUACAGAGAGCACUAAAUUUCAAGAAAAAGCCUCAUUUGCAACCAGAGAUUGGAAAACACUGGACUUGUCUACUCUCCUUCUGAAGUGCUGUUUUUUCUCCUCACCUAACUGCCCCUUCCUCACAGUCUUUAAGGACCUGUCACCUAGUCCUGGAGUAGGCACAGAGGCUGAAAGAUACCAGGAUUUUAAAGACAAAGUGCAUAGAGACCAGUGAUGUGGGAUCUGAGGCAACGAAAGAAAAUCAGAAGAGAUUUUCUCCUGGUGCCUUAAUAGAACUCUGACAGAGAUGAGCAAUCUCACAAGCCUCAAAGAGAAGCAGAGCCCUGACCACACAACACAGAAGGUCAGGCAGCCAGGAGGUAGCAAAGCGGAACACCAGGAAUAAGGCAAGUACUCAUUGGAAGGAAGGAAGGAAGGAAGGAAGGAAGGAAGGAAGGAAGGAA